rnacentral:tRNA from 3 species
GCGGGCAUCGUAUAAUGGCUAUUACCUCAGCCUUCCAAGUUGAUGAUGCGGGUUCGAUUCCCGCUGCCCGCUCCA